GACGAACGCUGGCGGCGUGCCUAAUACAUGCAAGUAGAACGCUGAAGAGAGGAGCUUGCUCUUCUUGGAUGAGUUGCGAACGGGUGAGUAACGCGUAGGUAACCUGCCUGGUAGCGGGGGAUAACUAUUGGAAACGAUAGCUAAUACCGCAUGAUAUUAAUUAUCGCAUGAUAAUUAAUUGAAAGAUGCAAUUGCAUCACUACCAGAUGGACCUGCGUUGUAUUAGCUAGUUGGUGAGGUAACGGCUCACCAAGGCGACGAUACAUAGCCGACCUGAGAGGGUGAUCGGCCACACUGGGACUGAGACACGGCCCAGACUCCUACGGGAGGCAGCAGUAGGGAAUCUUCGGCAAUGGGGGGAACCCUGACCGAGCAACGCCGCGUGAGUGAAGAAGGUUUUCGGAUCGUAAAGCUCUGUUGUAAGAGAAGAACGGGUGUGAGAGUGGAAAGUUCACACUGUGACGGUAUCUUACCAGAAAGGGACGGCUAACUACGUGCCAACAGCCGCGGUAAUACGUAGGUCCCGAGCGUUGUCCGGAUUUAUUGGGCGUAAAGCGAGCGCAGGCGGUUAGAUAAGUCUGAAGUUAUGGCUGUGCGUUAAGGAGNAUGCUUUGGAAACUGUUUAACUUGAGUGCCGUAGGGGAGAGUGGAAUUCCAUGUGUAGCGGUGAAAUGCGUAGAUAUAUGGAGGAACACCGGUGGCGAAAGCGGCUCUCUGGUCUGUAACUGACGCUGAGGCUCGAAAGCGUGGGGAGCAAACAGGAUUAGAUACCCUGAUAGUCCACGCCGUAAACGAUGAGUGCUAGGUGUUAGGCCCUUUCCGGGGCUUAGUGCCGCAGCUAACGCAUUAAGCACUCCGCCUGGGGAGUACGACCGCAAGGUUGAAACUCAAAGGAAUUGACGGGGGCCCGCACAAGCGGUGGAGCAUGUGGUUUAAUUCGAAGCAACGCGAAGAACCUUACCAGGUCUUGACAUCCCUCUGACCGCUCUAGAGAUAGAGUUUUCCUUCGGGACAGAGGUGACAGGUGGUGCAUGGUUGUCGUCAGCUCGUGUCGUGAGAUGUUGGGUUAAGUCCCGCAACGAGCGCAACCCCUAUUGUUAGUUGCCAUCAUUGAGUUGGGCACUCUAGCGAGACUGCCGGUAAUAAACCGGAGGAAGGUGGGGAUGACGUCAAAUCAUCAUGCCCCUUAUGACCUGGGCUACACACGUGCUACAAUGGCUGGUACAACGAGUCGCAAGCCGGUGACGGCAAGCUAAUCUCUGAAAGCCAGUCUCAGUUCGGAUUGUAGGCUGCAACUCGCCUACAUGAAGUCGGAAUCGCUAGUAAUCGCGGAUCAGCACGCCGCGGUGAAUACGUUCCCGGGCCU
rnacentral:rRNA from 1 species